UGGGGAAUUUUGGACAAUGGGGGCAACCCUGAUCCAGCCAUGCCGCGUGAGUGAAGAAGGCCUUCGGGUUGUAAAGCUCUUUCGGACGGAACGAAAUGGUCAGGGUGAAUAUCCCUGACUGAUGACGGUACUGUAAGAAGAAGCACCGGCUAACUACGUGCCAGCAGCCGCGGUAAUACGUAGGGUGCAAGCGUUGCUCGGAAUCACUGGGCGUAAAGGGUGCGUAGGCGGCUGUGUAAGUCUGGCGUGAAAGCCCAGGGCUCAGCCCUGGAAGGGCGCUAGAAACUGCGCGGCUAGAGUGCCGGAGGGGAGAGUGGAAUUCCUGGUGUAGCGGUGAAAUGCGUAGAUAUCAGGAGGAAUACCGGUGGCGAAAGCGACUCUCUGGACGGCAACUGACGCUGAGGCACGAAAGCGUGGGGAGCAAACAGGAUUAGAUACCCCAGUAGUCCCUGAGCGGGCUGGCAAGGCGCAU
rnacentral:rRNA from 1 species